rnacentral:rRNA from 1 species
AUUGAACGCUGGCGGCGUGCUUAACACAUGCAAGUCGAUCGGUAACAGGUGUAGCAAUACAUGCUGACGAGAGGCGGACGGGUGAGUAAUGCUUGGGAAUCUGCCUAUUAGUGGGGGACAACCCGGGGAAACUCGGGCUAAUACCGCAUACGCUCUACGGAGGAAAGCCGGGGACCGCAAGGCCUGGCGCUAAUAGAUGAGCCCAAGUCGGAUUAGCUAGUUGGUAGGGUAACGGCCUACCAAGGCGACAAUCCGUAGCUGGUCUGAGAGGACGACCAGCCACACCGGAACUGAGACACGGUCCAGACUCCUACGGGAGGCAGCAGUGGGGAAUUUUGGACAAUGGGGGCAACCCUGAUCCAGCAAUGCCGCGUGAGUGAAGAAGGCCU